GAUAAACGCUGGCGGCGUGCCUAAUACAUGCAAGUCGAGCGAACGGACGAGAAGCUUGCUUCUCUGAUGUUAGCGGCGGACGGGUGAGUAACACGUGGAUAACCUACCUAUAAGACUGGGAUAACUUCGGGAAACCGGAGCUAAUACCGGAUAAUAUUUUGAACCGCAUGGUUCAAAAGUGAAAGACGGUCUUGCUGUCACUUAUAGAUGGAUCCGCGCUGCAUUAGCUAGUUGGUAAGGUAACGGCUUACCAAGGCAACGAUGCAUAGCCGACCUGAGAGGGUGAUCGGCCACACUGGAACUGAGACACGGUCCAGACUCCUACGGGAGGCAGCAGUAGGGAAUCUUCCGCAAUGGGCGAAAGCCUGACGGAGCAACGCCGCGUGAGUGAUGAAGGUCUUCGGAUCGUAAAACUCUGUUAUUAGGGAAGAACAUAUGUGUAAGUAACUGUGCACAUCUUGACGGUACCUAAUCAGAAAGCCACGGCUAACUACGUGCCAGCAGCCGCGGUAAUACGUAGGUGGCAAGCGUUAUCCGGAAUUAUUGGGCGUAAAGCGCGCGUAGGCGGUUUUUUAAGUCUGAUGUGAAAGCCCACGGCUCAACCGUGGAGGGUCAUUGGAAACUGGAAAACUUGAGUGCAGAAGAGGAAAGUGGAAUUCCAUGUGUAGCGGUGAAAUGCGCAGAGAUAUGGAGGAACACCAGUGGCGAAGGCGACUUUCUGGUCUGUAACUGACGCUGAUGUGCGAAAGCGUGGGGAUCAAACAGGAUUAGAUACCCUGGUAGUCCACGCCGUAAACGAUGAGUGCUAAGUGUUAGGGGGUUUCCGCCCCUUAGUGCUGCAGCUAACGCAUUAAGCACUCCGCCUGGGGAGUACGACCGCAAGGUUGAAACUCAAAGGAAUUGACGGGGACCCGCACAAGCGGUGGAGCAUGUGGUUUAAUUCGAAGCAACGCGAAGAACCUUACCAAAUCUUGACAUCCUUUGACAACUCUAGAGAUAGAGCCUUCCCCUUCGGGGGACAAAGUGACAGGUGGUGCAUGGUUGUCGUCAGCUCGUGUCGUAAGAUGUUGGGUUAAGUCCCGCAACGAGCGCAACCCUUAAGCUUAGUUGCCAUCAUUAAGUUGGGCACUCUAAGUUGACUGCCGGUGACAAACCGGAGGAAGGUGGGGAUGACGUCAAAUCAUCAUGCCCCUUAUGAUUUGGGCUACACACGUGCUACAAUGGACAAUACAAAGGGCAGCGAAACCGCGAGGUCAAGCAAAUCCCAUAAAGUUGUUCUCAGUUCGGAUUGUAGUCUGCAACUCGACUACAUGAAGCUGGAAUCGCUAGUAAUCGUAGAUCAGCAUGCUACGGUGAAUACGUUCCCGGGUCU
rnacentral:rRNA from 1 species